rnacentral:sRNA from 1 species
GGGAGCAGACCAAGGCGCUGGUCACCCAACUCACCCUCUUCAACCAGAUCCUGGUGGAGCUGCGGGAUGAUAUACGAGACCAGGUGAAGGAAAUGUCCUUGAUCCGAAACACCAUUAUGGAGUGUCAGGCUUCCAUGAGCAGCGUUCCCACUGCAGCCCCAGUCCCUGCUUCCGAGGCGUGGACUGCAUGGAAGUGUACGAGUACCCAGGCUACCGCUGUGGGCCCUGCCCCCCCGGCCUGCAGGGCAACGGCACCCACUGCAGUGACAUCAAUGAGUGUGCUCAUGCUGACCCCUGUUUCCCGGGCUCCAGCUGCAUCAACACCAUGCCCGGCUUCCACUGUGAGGCCUGUCCUCGAGGGUACAAGGGCACACAGGUGUCUGGUGUGGGCAUUGACUAUGCCCGGGCCAGCAAACAGUCUGCCCCUUCAGGUCUGCAAUGACAUCGAUGAAUGCAACGAUGGCAACAAUGGUGGCUGUGACCCAAACUCCAUCUGCACCAACACUGUGGGCUCUUUCAAGUGUGGUCCCUGCCGCCUAGGUUUCCUGGGCAACCAGAGCCAGGGCUGCCUCCCAGCCCGGACCUGCCACAGCCCAGCCCACAGCCCCUGCCACAUCCAUGCUCACUGUCUCUUUGAACGCAAUGGUGCAGUGUCCUGCCAGUGUAACGUGGGCUGGGCUGGGAAUGGGAACGUGUGUGGGACUGACACAGACAUCGAUGGCUACCCAGACCAAGCACUGCCCUGCAUGGACAACAACAAACACUGCAAACAGGACAACUGCCUUUUGACACCCAACUCUGGGCAGGAAGAUGCUGAUAAUGAUGGUGUGGGGGACCAGUGUGAUGACGAUGCUGACGGGGAUGGGAUCAAGAAUGUUG